GCGGUGGGUAGAUGGCUGGCGUCACGUGACGGAGCACGACAUGUUUCUCCCACCGAAUCACCUUGACAUAUUUACCAUUUAUUUACCACUGGUAAGGCUGCACGGCGUUGCCCGACAUUGAUUCUGGCGCGAACUCUUGCAAGCGAGGUCACUCCGCUGACUGUUGUGCUGCUGCCAGAGUUACUUCCCGUUACUCUGAUGUUCAAGAAGCCAUGACCACACUCCACUUUCUUUCUAAAGUUUGCCAUUUGGCCUUAUAAAUGUUCCCAGCCCCCACACAUCCUAUAGAGAGCCUCCUGGAGACAACCUCACUGGAACCUUGGUCUGUGGACAGACAUGGCGGCCGCCGGUAGUCACAACAUUACCUCGCUGUCAUGUCAGCCAGCUCCAAGUGGGAAAUGAGAGACUCAUCAAUUUGCCAUCAUCGCCUUGUUCAUCUUGCUGCCCGCUUCCCGCAAUGACAGCUUCUGAUGGACUGGCGGAGCCGGACAGCUUCUUGGGCUCACCUGUCACAGCCAGCGAGACAUGUCACACGGCAGCCAGGGACUGCAGGCAGCCAGGAUACACGCCAUACCCUGUACCCUGUACCCUGUAUCCUAGUCGGUGCUCAAGGCAGCACCAGGCCACAGCCACCCGACUGCAAGUAAUGUGGGUCGGAACUGAACACGGACCUCUCGCCGAGAACCGGACCCGUGACAACUGGACCACAAUAGGUUUCCUACUAAAACCUUUGGAGGGAAAUUGUCUUUGGAGCCAGACUUCGCAUGUCAUGCACAUCAGGCACCUCGUGAUGUAGUUCAGCUGCUCGUCAACCACAGGACGUGUCACGUGACGUGCAGAUCCUUGUCCUCCAUGCAGCUCGUCACUGAGACAGUUGCUGGACCAUCUGUUUACUCACGCACACAGCAACGGCCCCUCACGUGUGCGCCAUGAAGUAAUCUGGAAACAUCUGACACAUCUUUGGUUACACAGCGCAUCUGUUUAGUCUCUGACAGCAUCCUCCCUGGUCAUCUGCCAGUUCUGGGCGCCAGUGCAUCUGACUUCCAAUCCAAAGCAUCCACACAUAUAAUUGGAAGCUCUAGCCAUUGGCUUGCCUGGCACUGCAAACGCUUGCCGUAUGCCUGUCCAAGAUUGGAAACAUUUGUCAUACUGCCGGGUUAAAAAAAAAAAAAACCCCCAAAAAAACAAAACCAAAACUUAUGCUUCCGGGUCGAUAAAGACCUGGCUUGCCUCAGACCAACGUUCAAUAAAGUCGCGGUACAUCCUUCCGCUGACCCAUUAGUGUUUCCAAAACUAAAUUGCACAUGCGCAGAGAAAAGAACCAACACGGAGAUGUCGACACUGACCACUUGUGUCCUGUGGAAGCCUUCUCUUCCGUCGUCCGAAGAAAACUUCCCAACAUACGAUGGAUUGUGAACGAAACUCGCGAAAUGUUCGACAGGUCAUGCGGUAGAACUUGUGAAGUGCACCUGAUCCAUAAGGAGCCUUUUGUUGCAAAGAUUUACUGAUAGUUGUUGCUGAAAUACAACACCUGGACCGGAAUAAGCAGAGGCAGAUAAGUGCGCAGCCACGACGACUGGAUGCCGUCACACUGCGGAGAUACCGGCAGUUAAGGAGCUGACCUUGCAAUAGUGUGCAAAGCAAUGAAACAAACAAAAAUCAAAAGAAAUAAAGAAAGACAAUAUCUGCAAAAUUCGUGCGGAUUUUCUUUUUGUUUUGUUUUGCUGUAUCCAUAAACAUCGUCAUAAUUCUCUCCUCCUUGAACUCCAAACGACGAGACUGUUAUAUCUAAUAGAAUAAUUUUAGAGCGAAACUACGGCACGCGCUGGCUUGAACAUUGCUCCGGAAAUACUAGCUAAAACAUGGCAGACAGGCAAAAAGCUUGAAUUUGUAAACACGACAUUUCUGGUCAAUAAACUUUUAAAACAACAGUUAGGGGCUAGCCCUACAAGGGCUGUGCACACAAUAAGGACUUGAAGUAUGUAUUUACUAUAAACAAGAUACAUGAAACCACACUUCUACGUCAAACACGUGACAUGAGGCAGAACUUCUCCCUCACCUAUGCACCAACCCUCGCACGCACACACUCGCACGCUUGCCCACAGACGCACUUACUUACCU